rnacentral:rRNA from 1 species
UACGGAGGGGGCUAGCGUUGUUCGGAAUUACUGGGCGUAAAGCGCACGUAGGCGGCUUUGUAAGUUAGAGGUGAAAGCCCGGAGCUCAACUCCGGAAUUGCCUUUAAGACUGCAUCGCUAGAAUUGUGGAGAGGUGAGUGGGAUUCCGAGUGUAGAGGUGAAAUUCGUAGAUAUUCGGAAGAACACCAGUGGCGAAGGCGACUCACUGGACACAUAUUGACGCUGAGGUGCGAAAGCGUGGGGAGCAAACAGG